rnacentral:rRNA from 1 species
UACGAAGGGGGCUAGCGUUGCUCGGAAUCACUGGGCGUAAAGGGUGCGUAGGCGGGUCUUUAAGUCAGGGGUGAAAUCCUGGAGCUCAACUCUAGAACUGCCUUUGAUACUGAAGAUCUUGAGUCCGGGAGAGGUGAGUGGAACUGCGAGUGUAGAGGUGAAAUUCGUAGAUAUUCGCAAGAACACCAGUGGCGAAGGCGGCUCACUGGCCCGGUACUGACGCUGAGGCACGAAAGCGUGGGGAGCAAACAGG